rnacentral:rRNA from 2 species
GAUGAACGCUGGCGGCGUGCCUAAUACAUGCAAGUCGAACGAGUUCUCGUUGAUGAUCGGUGCUUGCACCGAGAUUCAACAUGGAACGAGUGGCGGACGGGUGAGUAACACGUGGGUAACCUGCCCUUAAGUGGGGGAUAACAUUUGGAAACAGAUGCUAAUACCGCAUAGAUCCAAGAACCGCAUGGUUCUUGGCUGAAAGAUGGCGUAAGCUAUCGCUUUUGGAUGGACCCGCGGCGUAUUAGCUAGUUGGUGAGGUAAUGGCUCACCAAGGCGAUGAUACGUAGCCGAACUGAGAGGUUGAUCGGCCACAUUGGGACUGAGACACGGCCCAAACUCCUACGGGAGGCAGCAGUAGGGAAUCUUCCACAAUGGACGCAAGUCUGAUGGAGCAACGCCGCGUGAGUGAAGAAGGCUUUCGGGUCGUAAAACUCUGUUGUUGGAGAAGAAUGGUCGGCAGAGUAACUGUUGUCGGCGCGACGGUAUCCAACCAGAAAGCCACGGCUAACUACGUGCCAGCAGCCGCGGUAAUACGUAGGUGGCAAGCGUUAUCCGGAUUUAUUGGGCGUAAAGCGAGCGCAGGCGGUUUUUUAAGUCUGAUGUGAAAGCCUCGGCUUAACCGAGGAAGCGCAUCGGAAACUGGGAAACUUGAGUGCAGAAGAGGACAGUGGAACUCCAUGUGUAGCGGUGAAAUGCGUAGAUAUAUGGAAGAACACCAGUGGCGAAGGCGGCUGUCUGGUCUGUAACUGACGCUGAGGCUCGAAAGCAUGGGUAGCGAACAGGAUUAGAUACCCUGGUAGUCCAUGCCGUAAACGAUGAAUGCUAGGUGUUGGAGGGUUUCCGCCCUUCAGUGCCGCAGCUAACGCAUUAAGCAUUCCGCCUGGGGAGUACGACCGCAAGGUUGAAACUCAAAGGAAUUGACGGGGGCCCGCACAAGCGGUGGAGCAUGUGGUUUAAUUCGAAGCAACGCGAAGAACCUUACCAGGUCUUGACAUCUUUUGAUCACCUGAGAGAUCAGGUUUCCCCUUCGGGGGCAAAAUGACAGGUGGUGCAUGGUUGUCGUCAGCUCGUGUCGUGAGAUGUUGGGUUAAGUCCCGCAACGAGCGCAACCCUUAUGACUAGUUGCCAGCAUUUAGUUGGGCACUCUAGUAAGACUGCCGGUGACAAACCGGAGGAAGGUGGGGAUGACGUCAAAUCAUCAUGCCCCUUAUGACCUGGGCUACACACGUGCUACAAUGGAUGGUACAACGAGUUGCGAGACCGCGAGGUCAAGCUAAUCUCUUAAAGCCAUUCUCAGUUCGGACUGUAGGCUGCAACUCGCCUACACGAAGUCGGAAUCGCUAGUAAUCGCGGAUCAGCACGCCGCGGUGAAUACGUUCCCGGGCCUUGUACACACCGCCCGUCACACCAUGAGAGUUUGUAACACCCGAAGCCGGUGGCGUAACCCUUUUAGGGAGCGAGCCGUCUAAGGUGGGACAAAUGAUUAGGGUG